rnacentral:rRNA from 1 species
CCUACGGGAGACAGCAGUGGGGAAUAUUGCACAAUGGGGGAAACCCUGAUGCAGCGACGCCGCGUGAGUGAAGAAGUAUUUCGGUAUGUAAAGCUCUAUCAGCAGGGAAGAAAAAAGACGGUACCUGACUAAGAAGCCCCGGCUAACUACGUGCCAGCAGCCGCGGUAAUACGUAGGGGGCAAGCGUUAUCCGGAUUUACUGGGUGUAAAGGGAGCGUAGACGGCGCGGCAAGUCUGAAGUGAAAGGCAGGGGCUUAACCCCUGAACUGCUUUGGAAACUGUGAAGCUGGAGUGCAGGAGAGGUAAGCGGAAUUCCUGGUGUAGCGGUGAAAUGCGUAGAUAUCAGGAGGAACACCGGCGGCGAAGGCGGCUUACUGGACUGUAACUGACGUUGAGGCUCGAAGGCGUGGGGAGCAAACAGGAUUAGAUACCCGUGUAGUC